UUCAUUAUCAUCCUCUUUCCCAUUUUCCUUGUUCUUCUUUGUGUCUCUUUAUCAAUCACAGAAUGAACAGUAUCAACAACAACACCAAUUGAAUCUUCGGUCGAGAACGGAAGUUCCGAGGACGUUGAAUUUUGCUUUGCCUUUAAUUGUUUUUCGGAUAGAAUCAUUCAACUCAAGAUCAUGAAGGAUAUUAUUGAACUUUUUCCUAAUGUCGACAGUUGCUCCAAGUGCCGAUCGGAAUAGCCGCAACAAAAAGAGAAGGGAAGACAUGCAGAAAGACAAUGAUAAAAUUUGAAAUAAACAAAGAAGCUACAACAAUUGAAUCACAGUAACAUUUGGUUCAAAGCAUGGUACCAAGUCUAAAAGAUGAGAUGAAUAAAAAAAUAUAAGUGGACUACCAUUGUCUUUCUGCAUGUCUUUCCUUCUCUUUUUGUUGCGCCUAUUCCGAUCGGCACUUGGAGCAACUGUCGACAUUAGGAAAAACUUCAAUAAGAUCCUUCGUGAUUUUGAGUCGAAUGAUUCUAUCUGAGAAACUAGAAUUGUUGAAGGAAAAAUCAAGAUCUGAAUCCGUCAUGAUUAAAGACUCAACUAAAUUAAUAAUGUUGUUGAUAGUGAUUGAUUAAGAGACACAUAAGUUUCUUGUGAUGAUCAACAAGGAAAAUGAAUAAGAGGAUGGUGAUGAAAAUAACUCAAAUGCUCUUUUGUUUAUACUCAAUUAGAUUGUUGAAAUUUUUUUCUAAAAAAUAAUAAAUAAAUAAAAAUAUUAUUUUAUUUUUUA